AUGGCGCCCCCCGCGGCCGCGCUCCUCGGCCCUCCCAUCGCCAUCGUCGACACCGACAUGCCCGACGCCGACCGCAAGCCCAAGGCCAAGCCGACGCCGAAGAAGCCCAAGCGCGCGCAGCUCCGCGGCGACUCGUCGUCGUCGGACGACGACUCCGAGGGCGACUACAGCGACGCCGAGCCGCCCCGCUCCUGCGUCUCGCGCCCGCCGAAGGCCGAGGGGAAGGCGCUCGCGUACGCCUCGUCGGGCGACCCCUGCGUCGACUUCUUCUUCCAGGUCGUCCCGGGCGCCACGGCGGCCGCCGACGUGGCCGCGCUCCUCAGCGUCGCCUGGGCGGGCGACGCGCGCACGGCGCUCCGCCUCGUGUGCCACCUCCGCGGCGUCCGCGGGCUCGGCAAGUCCGACCGCGAGGGCUUCUACGCCGCCGCGCUCUGGAUGCACGCCAACCACCCGCGCACCCUCGCCGCCAACCUCGCCUCCUUCGCCAGGUUCGGCUGCCUCAAGGACCUCCCCGAGAUCGUCUACCGCGUCCUCCACGGCCCCCGCGACGAGCGCAAGGACGGCGACGACAGCACCAGGGUCCACCGCCGCGGCGGCUCCCGCGGCCGUAACAACAAGCGGCGCUGCGUCGGCGAGGCCGCGGAGGCCGCCAAGGCCAGGCGCCAGAAGGAGACGGAGCACGCGCAGGUCGUCCUCGCCCGCUACGACUCGGACGAGAGCUUCCGCUUCCUCUACGACCGCGUCGCCGAGCUCUUCGCCGAGCUGCUCAAGUCCGACCUCGAGCACCUUCGCUCGGGCGACACGCCCAAGAUCGGGCUCGCCGCCAAGUGGUGCCCGUCGCUCCGCUCGUCCUACGACCGCUCGACCCUGCUCUGCGAGGCCAUCGCCCGCCGCGUCUUCCCGCGCGACUCGAGCCCGGAGUACCUCAGCAUCCCCGACAAGCACUACGCGUACCGCGUCCGCAACCGGCUCCGCCGCGAGGUGCACGUGCCGCUGCGCAAGGUCCUGGAGCUCCCGGAGGUGUACAUGAGCGCGCGCAAGUGGGACGAGCUCCCCUACGCGCGCGUGGCGUCGCGGGCGAUGCGGCAGUACAAGCAGGCCUUCGACAAGCACGACAAGUCGGGCGUGGCCGGUUUCUACGACGAGGUGCGCGCCGGGCUGACCAGGAUCCCGGCGGACGCGGUGCUGCCGCACGAGAUCUUGGCCGCGGCCCUCAAGGGCGAGCACGACGAGUCGGCGGAGCUCCAGUGGCGCCACAUGGUGUCCUCCCUGGCGUCUGAGGGCCGGCUCAGCAACUGCAUCGCCAUGUGCGCCCUGUCGAGCUCGGUGGAGAAGCCACCGGCGGCCGCGGCAAUCGCGCUGGGGCUGCUGAUCUCGGAGCUGAGCAAGGAUCCGUGGAAGGGGCGGGUGAUCACCUUCGACGCCACGCACCAGCUGCACAAGGUGCGCGGCGCGUCGCUGGUGGAGAAGCUCCGGACGCUGGCCGCCGUGAGGGCACAGAAGGGCGCGAACCUGCAGGCCGUCUUCAACAAGAUCCUGAACGUGGCGGUGGCCGGCGCGCUGUCCAAGGACAUGAUGGUGAAGCGGGUGUUCGUGCUGAGCGACAUGGAGUUCGACGGGUGGGUGGGCGGCGAGGCGUGGGUGUCGGAGCAUGCGGCCAUCAAGAAGAAGUUCGCGGCGGAGGGGUUCGCCGUGCCGGAGGUGGUGUUCUGGAACGUGGGCACGUCCAAGGCGUCGGUGCCGGUGGUGGCGGCGCAGGCCGGCGUGGCGCUGGUGAGCGGCUACUCGAAGAACCUGGUGCGGCUGUUCCUGGAGGCGGACGGCGUGCUCACCCCGUCGGCCAUCAUGGCGGACGCCAUCUCCGGCCCCGAGUACGACGCCCUCGAGGUGCUCGACUGA
rnacentral:rRNA from 1 species